GAUGAACGCUGGCGGCGUGCUUAACACAUGCAAGUCGAACGGGGGCGUGAUGUGCGAGAAGGAUAGUUUACUAGACUUCAAACUUUUCACGCCCUAGUGGCGGACGGGUGAGUAACGCGUGGGUAACCUGCCAUAUACAGGGGGAUAACACUUAGAAAUAGGUGCUAAUACCGCAUAAGCGCACAGGGGCGCAUGCCCCGGUGUGAAAAACUCCGGUGGUAUAUGAUGGACCCGCGUCUGAUUAGCCAGUUGGCAGGGUAACGGCCUACCAAAGCGACGAUCAGUAGCCGGCCUGAGAGGGUGAACGGCCACAUUGGGACUGAGACACGGCCCAA
rnacentral:rRNA from 1 species